UCACCGUGACCUCGGCGCCGCGCUCGCUCUGACUCGCGCUUUUCGCUUGCUCCGCGGGGCGUUUCCGGGACCGGAGAGGUCGGCGAGGUCAGCGCGGGCCCCUCGCUGCCUCUGCCUGCGGACGGCCCCGUGUGCCACAGAAGGGGCGACUGAGCGAGCGGCGAGGUUCAGAGUAUCCCCAGGCGUUCUGCACCCCCAGCCCGCGCCCACAAAGCCGGGAGCGGGGCGGGAGGAGGUGUCUGAGUGCCUUUGACUCGCCCAGUGGCGUAAGGCAUCGACAGUUCUGCUAAAGUGGGGUCGGUGCGCAGGUGAAACUCCCUGGGCGCCAGGGGCCAGGCUGGACCCCGCCUGCCCUCCAGGAGCCCCCGGUCUGUCUGGAGGCAGGCGAGCACAGACGUGGUUCCCAGAUGAAGCUGCAAGCGCAGGCUGCCGGAGAGUCCAGGCUGGGGUCCGCACGCUGGGAAAUGUCUUCCAGGAGCCGCAAUCCGAAACGGUGUGAAGGGAUUGGUAUGACCGCACCCAUCCAAGAGGGCAGCGAGGCCCCACUGCAGGAACAGGGCAGAAAGGCCAGGGACAGCAAAGAUCCAGGGGAGAGGAUUCUGGAGGAUGCUCAGUUUGGUUAGAGUUUAAGGGCGAGAGAACGUCGGGUGGGCAAGAUUAACCAGCAUCGACCAUUAAGACCUUAGCUCAUAUUAGCACCCCAUCAGCCAGCCAGGAAUAUCUGAUAGAGAAGAAGGAAGGCAGGGGUGCAAAUCCCGAGAGACUGAAAGGAUGAGCAGACUGGGGCCAUCUCAGAGCAAAGCAGGGUCUCAUAUUGGCCAAGAGCCUGUUAAGGUGUAUCUGUCAGGAGCCCUAUGCCGCAGCAACAAACAGCCCCAGAUCUUAGAGUCCGAGCACAGCAAAAGUUUAUUUCUCACACACAGUACACUUCAGAUCUGGGCAACUCUCGGGGACUGCCACUCAGUUAAUCACCUGCCACGAUUAACUGAGUGGCAGGUGGCCCUCCAAGCUGCACCCAUGCUGUGGCUCUGUCUCCCCUCGAGACCUCCUAUUCUGGUCAUCGUGUACAGAAGAGGGAGAGUCUUGCCUCCCCCUGGAUGUCACAGACAGCAUUCCACUUACAGUGCAUGGCCAUAACCAGUCACGUGACCCCUGACUGUGAGGGACUUAAUAGUGUCACCUCCCAAGGAACUGGAAGCAGAGGGAAACCAGGAGGGUUCAGCACCAGAAGUCUCCACCCAAAGGGCCUGACAGCCCCAAGGACCAACUCUGCCUACACUCUGCUUUGGCAGGAGGCUGUCUCGCUCCCCAAGCCCUGCCUGAGUCACCAGUCAGCGGCAUAAGUAUACAACCUUCUGAUUGGCUUGUCAGAUGUCACAUUAACAAAGUUUUGUGUAAAGUCCCUAGGAUUAGCUGAAUCCACCCUCAGACACACCACCCCUCUCCUCUCCGGGUGAGGUCCCUGCUGGAAACACAAGCUCUAGGCUGGUGAGCAAGGAAUUUAGCAGGGGCGUACACUGCAGAAGUUCACGGCUGUCUGCCCAACUUCCUCUUCCCUCCUGCCCUCACGGGAGUGGGCACAUGACCCCGGACUGGCCAAGCUCUGUCUUCCUGGCACAGGGUCUCAUGUCCUGUGGUUCCAGGGGUCAGGACCUGAUGGAAGUGGGGUGCCCCCAGGACAACUAGAGAGCCCCAGCUCUUCGGAUAUAGGGGGCACAAGGACCAUCUGAGCGAGUCUCCUCUGCUCCCCCAGGGGAAGCACCUGGGAACCAGUACCCCACUGCAAGUGCCUGCCAAGCAUCAACUGUGACCCACUGAUGUGUUGGACACAGCUCGGUGCAAGGCGGCCAGCAGAAGACGGAGCAGAUCACACACUGAGUACGUCACGCUUAGGCUCCUGCCUGAGAAAAGAGGCAGCAGAGAGAAAUUCUGAGACCUCUGCCUGCCUGCCCUGUGCUCAGAACCUUCUCUCCUGGCCCAUCUGGGGUACAGCGCACCCUCCAUGGAUACCCCCAGGAUGGAGUCGCAGAUUUACCAGAUUUACCCUCCCUCCUGAAACUACCAACACAACCAGACGAACUUGUGAACAACAGGACAUCGGGCGAGGAAGGACGGCGGUCCCUGGGAGAUGGGAAACAGAUGGGUGAGUCCUGGGAUGGCCUGCUCCCUGCCUGAGAGGUUUAUGGUCUGCAGAGCAGACCGGGGGGGUUCCUGGACAAACAGAGAAGGCUCCCCAAGUUCAAGAGAGGGAGCUGGACAUCCAGGGAGAUAAAGGCAGUUAGGGUCUUCAGGACAGGGGACCCAUAAAGAGACUGCUGCCAGGAGAGAGCCCUGGUGAUCUGCAGAGGGUUCCCUGGGGCACUCACACGCGUCUGUGAAGAGCGCCGUAAGUGGGGAGAGACUAGUGCCCGGUGCCCACAUGGGGCUCCACCAGCCAGACCGGAACCUCAGAUUCACUGAGUAUUGGGAGAGGGCUCAGGGGUUAACCUUGAUCAGGCAGGUCCCCUCUCCUAGCACAGGAGCUCCUCUAAAUGCUGGAGGAUGAUGAGGGGGAGGCAUGGGGAAGAGGUCAUCAAAUACACAAAAGAACCUGGAAAAAGUCUCAACUCCACAUCCCCCUCCAGUAAUACUACGUGAAAGCGUUUUCAUACUUGCUCUAUUUCUCUCCUCCUUUCUAUUUUUCCUCUUUGUUGUGAAUAUAAUAUACAUCCAGAAAAAAAAUUUAAAUAUAAGUGUUCAACUUAGCAAAUUUUUUUUUUUUUUUGUCCACACUUCACGGCAUGUAGGAUCUUAGUUCCCUGACCAGGGAUUGAACCCACGCCCCCUGAAGUGGAAGCACGGAGUCUUAACCACUGGACCUCCAGGAAAGUCCCUUAACUUAGCAAAUUAUGGUCAAAAAAGCCCCUGUGUCGCCACCAGUCAGAUGCAUCCCAGUGAUACCUCCUCCCUCCCUGGCCCCUGCCUGGAUUUCUGCCCCCUGGCAGAAAGCCCCCAGGAAGCUCUUCCUGAAAUGGUUUUAUAGUUGACCAGGCGUCUCUCUCAUCUCUUGUAUAAGGUCAUUAAUCCCACAUGAGGGCCCCACCCUCAUGACCUAAUGACCUCCCAAAGGCCCCACUUCCAAAUACCAUCACAUUGGGGAUUGAGUUUCAACGAAUGGAUUUGGGGGACACAAGCAUUCAGUCCAGAGCAGAGGCUAUGAUCAAGAUAUUGCUAAGAACGUACUUGCAUAUGUAUUUGGCUGCAACACACACACACAUGCUAGUAGGUAAGUAGCUUCUAGAGGAAUUGCAGGCUCAUGGGUGUGCAAAUCUUCAGCUUUAGAAGACGCUGCCACACAAUUCUCCAAAGUGAUUACAGCACCAGCAGUGUUAAGAUUUCCUGGUAAGUUCACACACUUACCAACCCCUUGUUGUGCAGAGCUAGUUCACUGUGAUUUUAAUUUGCAUGGUUAAAACACAUGUAUGUUUAUUGUCCAUUUGAAUAUACUCUCUUUGGAAAUGUCUGUUCAAACAUUUUGCCCAUUUUUCCAUUUUACUCACCGUUCUGUAUUUUUCUUAUUGAUUUUUAGAUGCACUUUAUAUAUUCUGGAUAUGAGCCCCUUGCCAGUUACAUGUAUUGCAAAUAUCUUUUUCCACUCUGUGACUUAAUGUUUCUUUUAAUAGUAUCAUUGAUAAAGAAAAGUUUCUUAAUUCAAAUGAAUCAAGGUGAUCAGACAUUUUUUUUUUAUCAUUAGGGCUUUUUAAAUCUUGCUUAAGAGACCUUUCUCUAGGCCAAGAUCAUGAAGUUAUUCUUCUGUAUAUUCUUCUACGGCUAUGUUAUUUACCUUUCCUCUUUCUUUUUCAUUGUUAAAAUAUAGAUAACAUAGUAUUUACCAUAUUCAUCAUUUUAAGCACGUAGCUCAGUGGCAUUAAGUUCAUCCACAUUAUUCUGCAACCAUCAGCACCAUUCAUUUCCAGAAUUUUUCAUAUUCCCACACUGAAACUUUGUACCCAUAACAUAAUAAUCCCCCACCCCACCCCCCCUUCUCCCAGCCCCUGGUAGAAGCCAUUCUCCUUCCUGUCUCUAUGCAUUUGACUCCUCUAAGUACCUCAUGUAAGUGCAAUCAUACUGUAUUUGUCCUUUUGCGUCGGGCUUAUUUCAUGUAGCAUCAUGGCCUCAAGUUUCAUUCAGGUUAUAGCACGUGUUGGAAUUUCCUUCCUUUUUUAAGGACUUUUUCAUCUUUUCAAGUCUAUACUUUUUUUUUCAAGUAUAUACUUUUUUGCGCUUGGAUUUUUCUCUCCUCAGCGUAGACUGAAAAGGCUGUCCUUUCCCCACUGUUCCUGCAGGGCUACCUUUGUCAUAAGUCAAAUGAGCUUAUGUGCCUGGGCCUGUUUCUGGGCUCUCUAUUUUGAGCCAUUGGUUUAUUUUAUAUUUUGGAGCCAAUAAUCAGGCCAAAUUCAUGGGCUUGCCACGAAUGCAGCUGCUCAGGGCCCCAUGCUCAGAAGAGCCCUACACUUGAUUUAAUAUUCUCCUCCUGCUGUCUUGGAAUUCUUUUUUUUUUUUUUUUUUAAUUAAAAAAAUUAUUUAUUUAUUUAGGCUGCGUUGGGUCUUUGUUGCUGCAUGCGGGCUUUCUCUAGUUGCGGCGAGCGGGAGCUACUCUUUGUUGCGGUGCUUGGGCUUCAGUAGUUGAGGCUCGUGGGCUCUAAAGCGCAGGCUCAGUAGUUGUGGUGCAUGGGCUUAGUUGCUCUGUGGCAUGUGGGAUCUUUCCAGAUCAGGGCUUGAACCUGUGUCCCCUGCAUUGGCAGGCGGAUUCUUAACCACUGUAGUUUAAAAUACUGAGACUUCCAAUCCAAAAACAUGGUUAAUUCCUCCAAAUAUUUAGAUCUCUUAACAUCUAAAAAAGAUUUUUACACUUUCAUCCCUAUGCAUGUUGUAUGAAUAUCCAAGGAAGUUGACUUUCUUAAAUUGUGGUAACAACACGUAACAUAAAAUUUACUAUCUUAACCAUUUUUAAGUGUACUGUAUAGUAUUGUUAACUCUGCCCACAUUAUUGCACAAGGAUCUCUAGGGCUUUUUCAUCUUGCCAUUCUAUACAGCUCCUCACUUCCCCCUCCCAAUUAAGCCCUGGAAAUCAGCGUUCUACCUUCUGCUUCUAAGAGUUUGACUAUUUUAGGUGCCUUAUAUAGGUGGAAUGAUACAGUAUUUGUCUUCCUAUGGCUGGCUUAUUUCAUUUAGCAUAAUGUCCUCAAGGUUUAGCGUGUGUCAGAAUUUCCUUCCUUUUUAAGGCUGAAUAAUAUUCUAUUAUGUGUAUAGACCAGGUUUUCUUUGUCCAUUCAUCUGUCGAUGGACUUUUAUGUUGCUUCUAACCCUUGGAUAUUGUGAAUAAUAUUGCAAUGAACAUAGAUGCACAAAUAUCUCUUUGAGAUCCUGUUUUCAAUUCUUUUGGAAGUAUAUCCAGAAGUGAGAUUGUUGGAUUAUAUGGUAAUUCUAUCUUUAAUUUUUUGAGGAACCGCUGUACUGUUUUCCAUAGGGUCUGCACCGACUUACAUUCCCAUCAACAGCACACAGGGUACCAAUUUCUCCACAUCCUCGUUGAACACUUGCUAUUUUCUGUUUUGUUAUGUUUGAUAGUGGCCAUCCUAACAGGUGUGAGGUGAUAUCGCAUUGUGGAUUUGAUUUGCAUUUCCCUGAUGAUUAGUGAUGUUGAGCAUCUUUUCAUACGUUUAUUGGCCAUUUCUAUAUCUUCUGUGGAGAAUUUUUCCCACUUUUAAUCAGGUUAUUCAUUUUUUUGUUGUUGAGUUGUAGGAGUUAUUUAUAUAUUCUGGAUAUUACCCCCCCAAUCAGAUAUAUGGUUUGCAAAUAUUUUCUCCUAUUAUAUAGGUUGCCUUUUCACUCUGUUGAUUGUUUCUGGGCUCUCUAUUCUGUUCCAUUGGUCUAUAUGUCUGUCUUUAUGUCAGUACCAUGCUGUUUUGAUUAUUGUGACUUUAUAAUAUAUAUUUCUUUCUUUUUGCGGUAUGCGGGCCUCUCACUGUUGUGGCCUCUCCCA